rnacentral:rRNA from 1 species
UACGUAGGUGGCAAGCGUUGUCCGGAUUUACUGGGCGUAAAGAGCGCGCAGGCGGUUCGUGCAAGUCGCGUGUGAAAAGCCCCCGGCUCAACUGGGGAGGGUCACGGCGAUACUGCUCGACUCGAAGGCAGGAGAGGGAAGUGGAAUUCCCGGGUGUAGUGGUGAAAUGCGUAGAUAAUCGGGAGGAACACCAGUGGCGAAGGCGGCUUAACUGGGUCUUUUCUGGACGCUGAUGCACGAAAGCCAGGGGAGCAAACGGGGA